GGCAACCUUUUUCUAUAUGUUGCUCGUGAGCCGCCAAGUACCAGUCUCGCAACAGUAUUGGCGUUAAAGGAUCGGUCCUUCACUUGUGAUCUUCGACCCAAGACAAUGGAAGGGAGCUAA
rnacentral:rRNA from 1 species